GUUUCGGGGGAGACGGAGGGGAGAGCUAACUUGGGGGGGCAGGGGAGGCGAGGACUGGGAGACAGAGACAAGGGCUUAGAAGCCUACUUUGGGGGCAAGACUUGAGAGUCCGUGGGGGGGCGUCCCUGAAAGCACACGAGUAUUUGGGACGUGUAAGGAGACUGGGGGUUCGUGGGGAGUGGAUCCCACAGCUCAGCUCUGGGGACUGAGUCCGCUCCACUCCGGGGAAUCCGGGCUCCGGGCGGCCACGCGCGCCGGUGAUUCACCUGUCGAGGGGCGGGGCAGCCGCAGGCGCAUUCACCUGUCGGCAGGAUUCCAGGCGCGGAGCUCUACUGCGCAGGCGCCCGCCCGCGGCUCCACCUCCAGACAGCCCAGAGAGGACAGCAAUGAAGAAGACAAGGAAAUCAAGGAGAUGAGACCCGAGGUCAGCAGCCACAGCAAGGAUGGUACCGGUACCCCUGCAACUUCAAUGACCGAUGCAGAUGCCCAGAAAACCCUAAGCCACAAGAUGGCAGAGACAAAAGCAGCAGAUCUGCUGGCUGAGAGGCUGAGAAUUCCUUGCUCCAGAGGCUGAACAGGCCCGGCUGAGUAAAUACCAUCUCUACCCAAAGUGUGACAUCUGACUUAGUCAUCCAGCAAGAAGAAAUGAAUAUGAAAUUCCAGCAUUAAGAAAUGAACAUAAGAUGGGAGCUGAAGACCUUCAAUGCUGGCUUUUUGCCCAAUGACCAGAUAUGCAUUUUUUUACCUAAAGAUGUCUCUUUUUGGUAAUGACAAACAUGGGUGUGUGUGUUUUUUUUAGGUGGGGGUUUUUUUUUAAGCCUAGUUUUUCUCAAUUCACCUAUAAACGUUUUUAAAUUGUUUCA